UCUGGUGAUGAUGGCAAAGAGGCCACACCCGUUCCCAUCCCGAACACGGCAGUUAAGCUCUUUUGCGCCAAUGGUAGUUGGGGGUUUCCCCCUGUGAGAGUAGGACGUUGCCAGGC
rnacentral:rRNA from 1 species